AGUGAACGCUGGCGGUAGGCCUAACACAUGCAAGUCGAACGGCAGCACAGUAAGAGCUUGCUCUUACGGGUAGCGAGUGGCGGACGGGUGAGGAAUACAUCGGAAUCUACUUUUUCGUGGGGGAUAACGUAGGGAAACUUACGCUAAUACCGCAUACGACCUACGGGUGAAAGCAGGGGAUCUUCGGACCUUGCGCGAUUGAAUGAGCCGAUGUCGGAUUAGCUAGUUGGCGGGGUAAAGGCCCACCAAGGCGACGAUCCGUAGCUGGUCUGAGAGGAUGAUCAGCCACACUGGAACUGAGACACGGUCCAGACUCCUACGGGAGGCAGCAGUGGGGAAUAUUGGACAAUGGGCGCAAGCCUGAUCCAGCCAUACCGCGUGGGUGAAGAAGGCCUUCGGGUUGUAAAGCCCUUUUGUUGGGAGAGAAAAGCAGCAGGUUAAUACCCCGCUGUUCUGACGGUACCCAAAGAAUAAGCACCGGCUAACUUCGUG
rnacentral:rRNA from 1 species